AACGUAGGUGGCGAGCGUUAUCCGGAAUUACUGGGCGUAAAGCGUGCGCAGGCGGUUUUGUAAGUCUGUCGUGAAAGCCCCGGGCUCAACCUGGGAAUUGCGAUGGAGACUGCAAGGCUUGAAUCUGGCAGAGGGGGGUAGAAUUCCACGUGUAGCAGUGAAAUGCGUAGAGAUGUGGAGGAACACCGAUGGCGAAGGCAGCCCCCUGGGUCAAGAUUGACGCUCAUGCACGAAAGCGUGGGGAGCAAACAGG
rnacentral:rRNA from 1 species